AUUGAACGCUGGCGGCAGGCCUAACACAUGCAAGUCGAGCGAGCGGCGGACGGGUGAGUAAUGUCUGGGAAACUGCCUGAUGGAGGGGGAUAACUCCUGGAAACGGUUGCUAAUAUCGCAUACCAUCAGAUGUGCCCAGGUGGGAUGAGCUAGUAGGUGGGGUAACGGCUCACCUAGGAGACGAUCCCUAGAUGGUCUGAGAGGAUGACCAGCGACACUGGAACUGAGACACGGUCCAGACUCCUACGGGAGGCAGCAGUGGGGAAUAUUGAACAAUGGGCGCAAGCCUGAUGCAGCAAUGCCGCGUGUGUGAAGAAGGCCUGCGGAUUGUAAAGCACUUUCAGCGGGGAGGCGUUACCCGCAGAAGAAGCACCGGCUAAGUCCGUGCCAGCAGCCGCGGUAAUUC
rnacentral:rRNA from 1 species